ACCGGAAACGUCUGGAGACAGGCGCCCCCUUGUGGUCGGUGUACAGGUGGUGCAUGGCUGUCGUCAGCUCGUGUCGUGAGAUGUUGGGUUAAGUCCCGCAACGAGCGCAACCCUUGUCCUGUGUUGCCAGCAUGCCCUUCGGGGUGAUGGGGACUCACAGGAGACCGCCGGGGUCAACUCGGAGGAAGGUGGGGACGACGUCAAGUCAUCAUGCCCCUUAUGUCUUGGGCUGCACACGUGCUACAAUGGCCGGUACAAUGAGCUGCGAUACCGUGAGGUGGAGCGAAUCUCAAAAAGCCGGUCUCAGUUCGGAUUGGGGUCUGCAACUCGACCCCAUGAAGUCGGAGUCGCUAGUAAUCGCAGAUCAGCAUUGCUGCGGUGAAUACGUUCCCGGGCCUUGUACACACCGCCCGUCACGUCACGAAAGUCGGUAACACCCGAAGCCGGUG
rnacentral:rRNA from 1 species